rnacentral:rRNA from 1 species
GUUGGCCAUCACCCUGAAUGUGCCCGAUGUCGUUUCAUCUCAGAAGCUAAGCAUGGUCAGGAGUGGUUUGUAUUUGGAUGGACAAUU